CCUACGGGUGGCAGCAGUGAGGAAUAUUGGUCAAUGGCCGGAAGGCUGAACCAGCCAAGCCGCGUGAAGGACGAAGGUGCCAAGCAUUGUAAACUUCUUUUGUCAAGGGACAAAAUCAGGCUCGAGAGCCUGACCGAGGGUACUUGAAGAAAAAGCAUCGGCUAACUCCGUGCCAGCAGCCGCGGUAAUACGGAGGAUGCGAGCGUUAUCCGGAUUUAUUGGGUUUAAAGGGUGCGUAGGGGGGCUGUUAAGUCAGCGGUAAAAGCCCGGGGCUGAACCCCGGCGAGCCGUUGAAACGGGGUGUCGUGAGAAGAGGUGGGGGAGGCGGAAGGCGCAGUGUAGAGGGGAAAUGCGGAGAUAUUGGGCAGAACACAGAGUGCGAAGGAAGAAUAGCGGAGGCGAUCGGACGGUGAGGCACGAAAGCGUGGGUAGCGAACAGGAUUAGAGACACUUGUAGUC
rnacentral:rRNA from 1 species